GAUGAAGAAGGUAGCGAAAUGCGAUAAGUAAUGUGAAUUGCAGAAUUCAGUGAAUCAUCGAAUCUUUGAACGCACAUUGCGCCCGCCAGUAUUCUGGCGAGCAUGCCUGUUCGAGCGUCAUUUCAACCAUCAAGCCCCAGGCUUGUGUUGGAGCCCUGCGGCUGCCGCAGCCUCCCAAAACCAGUGGCGGGCUCGCUAUCACACCGAGUGCAGUAGUUUACUCUUCGCUCAGGGCGUGUGGCGGGUGCUAGCCGUGAAACCCCCAACUUCUCAAGGUUGACCUCGGAUCAGGUAGGAAUACCCGCUGAACUUAAGCAUAUCAAUAAGCGGAGGA
rnacentral:misc_RNA from 1 species